rnacentral:rRNA from 1 species
UUCCGGUUGAUCCUGCCGGACCCUACUGCUAUCGGGGGAGGACUAAAACAUGCUAGUCGUUAUGAUGAGACGCGGCAUACGGCUCAGUAACACGUGGCUAACCCACCCUUGAGACGAAGAAAACCCCGGGAAACUGGGGGUAAUCCUCGAUAGAAGAAGACACCUGGAAAGGGUCUCCUUCCAAAAGGUCCACUGCUCAAGGACGGGGCCGCGGCCGAUCAGGUUGUUGGUGAGGCAAAGGCUCACCAAGCCUAUAACCGGUACGGGCCGUGAGAGCGGGAGCCCGGAGAUGGGCACUGAGAUAAGGGCCCAGGCCCUACGGGGCGCAGCAGUUGCGAAAACUCUGCAAUGCACGAAAGUGUGACAGGGCUACCCCGAGUGCCGUCCGCUGAGGGCGGCUUUUCCCUGGUGUAAGGAGCCGGGGGAAUAAGGAGAGGGCAAGUCUGGUGUCAGCCGCCGCGGUAAUACCAGCUCUCCGAGUGGUAGGGAUGUUUAUUGGGCUUGAAGCGUCCGUAGCUGGCCUGGCAAGUCUUCCGUUAAAUCCAACGAUUCAAUCGUUGGACUGCGGGAGGUACUGUUGGGCUAGGGGGCGGAAGAGGCCGACGGUAUUCUCGGGGUAGGGGUAAAAUCCUAUAAUCCCGGGAAGACCACCAGUGGCGAAGGCGGUCGGCUAGAACGUGCUCGACGGUGAGGGACGAAAGCUGGGGGAGCGAACCGGAUUAGAUACCCGGGUAGUCCCAGCUGUAAACGAUGCGGGCUAGGUGUUGGAGUGGCUACGGGCCGCUUCAGUGCCGCAGGGAAACCAUUAAGCCCGCCGCCUGGGGAGUACGGCCGCAAGGCUGAAACUUAAAGGAAUUGGCGGGGGAGCACCACAAGGGGUGAAGCUUGCGGUUUAAUUGGAUUCAACGCCGGA